GGAUGUGAGGGCGAUCUGGCUGUGACAUGUCACCCCAUGGAUUUCCAGGGUUGAUUUGGCUGAUCUGACUGGCUAGGCGGGUGUCCCCUUCCUCCCUCACCGCUCCAUGUGCGUCCCUCCCGAAGCUGUGCGCUAGGGGGAAGAGGACGGCCUUCCCCAAUAGAGACGGACCGGUCUUUGGUCCAGGGUAUACAAGUAGCUGCGCUCCCCUGCUAGAACUUCUAAACAAGCUCUCAAGGUCCAAAAUGUGGUUUAAAUUAUCUUAUGCUACUAGUACCACAUUUAAGAUACAUAGAGAAUUUU
ensembl:misc_RNA 7SK 7SK RNA